UGGGGAAUUUUGCGCAAUGGGGGAAACCCUGACGCAGCAACGCCGCGUGAGUGAUGAAGGCCUUCGGGUCGUAAAGCUCUGUCGAGGGGGAAGAAAUGCGGGCGGUUAAUACCUGUUCCGCUUGACGGUACCCCUGAAGGAAGCACCGGCUAACUCCGUGCCAGCAGCCGCGGUAAUACGGAGGGUGCAAGCGUUGUUCGGAAUUAUUGGGCGUAAAGCGCGUGUAGGCGGUUUGGUAAGUCUGAUGUGAAAGCCCUGGGCUCAACCUAGGAAGUGCAUUGGAUACUGCCAGACUUGAGUACGGGAGAGGGAAGUGGAAUUCCUAGUGUAGGAGUGAAAUCCGUAGAUAUUAGGAGGAACACCGGUGGCGAAGGCGGCUUCCUGGACCGAUACUGACGCU
rnacentral:rRNA from 1 species